rnacentral:rRNA from 1 species
AACGAACGCUGGCGGCAUGCCUAACACAUGCAAGUCGAACGAGACCUUCGGGUCUAGUGGCGCACGGGUGCGUAACGCGUGGGAACCUGCCCUUAGGUUCGGAAUAACUCCCCGAAAGGGGUGCUAAUACCGGAUAAUGUCUUCGGACCAAAGAUUUAUCGCCUUUGGAUGGGCCCGCGUUGGAUUAGCUAGUUGGUAGGGUAAAAGCCUACCAAGGCGACGAUCCAUAGCUGGUCUGAGAGGAUGAUCAGCCACACUGGGACUGAGACACGGCCCAGACUCCUACGGGAGGAAGCAGGGGGGAAUAUUGGACAAUGGGCGAAAGCCUGAUCCAGCAAUGCCGCGUGAGUGAUGAAGGCCUUAGGGUUGUAAAGCUCUUUUACCCGGGAUGAUAAUGACAGUACCGGGAGAAUAAGCUCCGGCUAACUCCGUG